rnacentral:rRNA from 1 species
UUUAAUGAGAGUUUGAUCCUGGCUCAGGACGAACGCUGGCGGCGUGCCUAAUACAUGCAAGUAGAACGCUGAGGUUUGGUGUUUACACUAGACUGAUGAGUUGCGAACGGGUGAGUAACGCGUAGGUAACCUGCCUCAUAGCGGGGGAUAACUAUUGGAAACGAUAGCUAAUACCGCAUAAGAGUAAUUAACACAUGUUAGUUAUUUAAAAGGAGCAAUUGCUUCACUGUGAGAUGGACCUGCGUUGUAUUAGCUAGUUGGUGAGGUAAAGGCUCACCAAGGCGACGAUACAUAGCCGACCUGAGAGGGUGAUCGGCCACACUGGGACUGAGACACGGCCCAGACUCCUACGGGAG